UACAGUGGGGGCAAGCGUUAUUCGGAAUUAUUGGGCGUAAAGGGCGCGUAGGCGGCCUGGCAAGUGGAAGGUGAAAUCCCUCGGCUUAACCGAGGAACUGCCCUCCAAACUGCUUGGCUUGAGACCGGGAGAGGUGAGUGGAAUUCCCAGUGUAGCGGUGAAAUGCGUAGAUAUUGGGAGGAACACCAGUGGCGAAGGCGGCUCACUGGACCGGUACUGACGCUGAGGCGCGAAAGCGUGGGGAGCAAACGGGG
rnacentral:rRNA from 1 species